rnacentral:rRNA from 1 species
UCGGGAAUUUUGGGCAAUGGGCGAAAGCCUGACCCAGCAACGCCGCGUGAAGGAUGAAGUAUUUCGGUAUGUAAACUUCGAAAGAAUAGGAAGAAUAAAUGACGGUACUAUUUGUAAGGUCCGGCUAACUACGUGCCAGCAGCCGCGGUAAUACGUAGGGACCAAGCGUUGUUCGGAUUUACUGGGCGUAAAGGGCGCGUAGGCGGCGUGGUAAGUCAUCUGUGAAAUCUCCGAGCUUAACUCGGAACGGUCAGAUGAUACUGCUGUGCUAGAGUACAGAAGGGGCAAUCGGAAUUCUUGGUGUAGCGGUGAAAUGCGUAGAUAUCAAGAGGAACACCUGAGGUGAAGACGGGUUGCUGGGCUGAUACUGACGCUGAGGCGCGAAAGCUAGGGUAGCAAACGGGAUUAGAUACCCUCGUAGUCCCUGAGCGGGCUGGCAAGGCGCAU